UACGUAGGGUGCGAGCGUUGUCCGGAAUUAUUGGGCGUAAAGAGCUCGUAGGCGGUCUGUCACGUCGGCUGUGAAAUCCCGAGGCUCAACCUCGGGUCUGCAGUCGAUACGGGCAAACUAGAGUAUUGCAGGGGGAGACUGGAAUUCCUGGUGUAGCGGUGGAAUGCGCAGAUAUCAGGAGGAACACCGGUGGCGAAGGCGGUUCUCUGGGCAUGUCCUGACGGCUGAGGAGCGAAAGGUGUGGGGAGCGAACAGG
rnacentral:rRNA from 1 species